CAGGUCAGUAUGUCCUCUGUUAGAGGUCAACAGGUCAGUAUGUCCUCUGUUAGAGGUCAACAGGUCAGUAUGUCCUCUGUUAGAGGUCAACAGGUCAGUAUGUCCUCUGUUAGAGGUCAACAGGUCAGUAUGUCCUCUGUUAGAGGUCAACAGGUCAGUAUGUCCUCUGUUAGAGGUCAACAGGUCAGUAUGUCCUCUGUUAGAGGUCAACAGGUCAGUAUGUCCUCUGUUAGAGGUCAACAGGUCAGUAUGUCCUCUGUUAGAGGUCAACAGGUCAGUAUGUCCUCUGUUAGAGGUCAACAGGUCAGUAUGUCCUCUGUUAGAGGUCAACAGGUCAGUAUGUCCUCUGUUAGAGGUCAACAGGUCAGUAUGUCCUCUGUUAGAGGUCAACAGGUCAGUAUGUCCUCUGUUAGAGGUCAACAGGUCAGUAUGUCCUCUGUUAGAGGUCAACAGGUCAGUAUGUCCUCUGUUAGAGGUCAACAGGUCAGUAUGUCC